rnacentral:rRNA from 1 species
UACGUAGGGACCGAGCGUUGUCCGGAAUCAUUGGGCGUAAAGAGCGUGUAGGCGGCUCGCUAAGUCUUGCGUGAAAUCUCGAGGCUCAACCCCAAACGGUCGUGAGAAACUAACAGGCUAGAGUGCGGGAGAGGAGAGUGGAAUUCCCGGUGUAGCGGUGAAAUGCGCAGAUAUCGGGAGGAACACCGGUGGCGAAGGCGGUUCUCUGGGCCUGACCUGACGCUGAGGAGCGAAAGCGUGGGGAGCGAACAGG